AUGGAGAUGGCCUCUGUCCCAGACUUAAAAACCUACACGAACCUGUGUGCUCCUUUUGAGGUCCAGGAAUUUAAAAUGGAAGCUGUCCUGACGCCACGUGCUCUGAAGCCGGCGUCUCCCCACCACCCCUCCCUGCACAUCGCGGGGCCCCUCUUUCUCCUUUCACUCGGCCUCCGCAGCCUGGAAAGGCUGAGGGGCCCGAGUGGUGUCAACCGGAGGAGGCGUCCACGGCAGAGGACCCCACCUGUGCUGCGCCGGGGGACUGGCUCCCUUGGAAUCCCGAGAGCGGGACGCGUGGGUUUCCGCGAAGUGACUUUCUCACGAACUUCAACGAAAGAAAAGUGCUCCGUCUCGAAACUGAGCCGCGACGGCCACCGAGUGUCAACAGCCUUCUCUGGUAAUUAGCAUUAGUAGUAGUAGUAGUACCAUACGAUAUUUCCAAAAUCAUCAGGCGUGGAAGGGGAAGAAGCGUUGUGGAGAGGAGAAGGGGGGUGGAGGACUGAAUAAGGAGAGAUUCCCGCCCCCAAGACCUCCCCGAGGAUCUGUAUUGGGCGAAGGAGACUUUUACUUUCAUUUUCAGGACCACCGUUCUCCCUUUCCCACCACCCCCAGACGGAUCUGCUGGGACUUGUUUCUCCGUGGGGCUUGAUCAGCUCGAGUGCGUUCCCCGCACAGUGGGAAAUGCUGGCGCGCCUUGGGCUGCGGCGGUGGGCUGAGCCCGGCGCUGGGCCGGACCUGCACCCCGCCCCCCACCACGCUCCGCAGCCCCAGGGCCGCCUCCGGGCGCUCACUCGUGGCCUACAGCCUCCUCUUCAAUGGAUUCAAUACGGCGUUCUCCCGGAACUCAGCAUCGAGCAUCCAGCUCCACUCGAAGUGGCGCCCAGCAGGCGGAGAUCGCCCCGGAUGAAAGGAAGGAUCCUGACCAUCCCUGAAAUUAGUUUAGUGUACGCGCGGAAAUAAGAAAGGGUUUAAAAGUUUCGUGAGUUGUUUGUGUUUCAUAACGUAUUUUGCUAAAAAUCAAGAAUUUAACAGGGACAGUUUUUCUUCUGGAAUGGACAUAACGCUAGAAGGAGGAUGCUUGCACUUUCCUAACCCACGUUCAGGGAAAUUGCUUUGUCUUUUUCCC
rnacentral:lncRNA from 1 species